AAAUACUGGUCCACUUUUACAGUAAUCAAGAAAUUUUCAUAUAUAUAAUAUAUACUAAAACCCCGUCACCAAAAGAAAGCAAAAUACACGCGGCCACGGUGGCAUUUUUUUUUAAGAACCUAUUAAGCAAACUUUGAAAAAAACGAUCGCUCCAACACACAUACACACAAUUUUUUUUUUUACCCUUGUAUGUAUCCAAUACUGUAAACGUAUUUUUAAGACAGAGUGCACUAAAUUUAACUUUAGAAAAAAAUCAGCCAUUGUUCCUGAAUUGUUUUUUCAUUCAACAAUAUCAACUUGUACCUUGUGUCACUUGAGUUUUAAUUCAGCAGUAAGUCACCUCCACUCCACAUCUAAGCAGCGUUGUCCCACAGGCAAAAGGGGCUGAGGUUAAUUCAGCUAAUGGAUAUCCAGGGUUGUGCUGGGUUUAUUUCUUCAUUUGAUUGGGUCUUAUGGCAUUUUCACGUCUUCAACCAGGAUUUUUGAAAAUUUAUUUAAAGUAAAUGUGGCUUUGUUUCUAAAGAAAUGUACUUUUCUCAUUUUAUUUUUUUUAAAAAAGUCUUUUCAUUGCAAAAGAAAAAAAAAGUUUUGCAUUUGUCUCAAGAGACUCAAAUAGGAAGAUCAGUUUUCAAGGCACUCACAUCAAAUUGAAUGGCAGUAGAAACACUGUCCAAUAAAUUAUUAUUUUAUUUUGUUCUUUAUAGUGCCAGUACUGUGAAUGCCAUGCUUAGCAAUACUGACACUCAAUCUCAGCCAUCCCUUGCAGUUUAACCCACCUCUGGGCCAAAAAGAAGAAGAUGCUGCAAUUUCUUGUUGAGAAGCCAUUUAAUUUAAAUGCAAACAAAAGCUUUAAAGUGCGGGUCAACAGAAUUCAAAUGUCUAAUCUGAACAGUCCAAUGCUUAGUACCUUCCAACCUAAUGGGAUAGAAAAAAAAAAAAAAAACGGAAGUAGCGCUGGGCACCUUGGGAUGGAACUCUUCCCGCUUUGCAGUAAAAGGGAACUGAAAUUGGCAAGAUUCCGCCCACCCCAUCCGUAUAAUGUCAUCAGUGUGCAGAGAGAAUAC
rnacentral:lncRNA from 1 species